GUGCACGCUGGCGGUAGGCCUAACACAUGCAAGUCGGACGGCAGCACAGUAAGAGCUUGCUCUUACGGGUGGCGAGUGGCGGACGGGUGAGGAAUACAUCGGAAUCUACUUUUUCGUGGGGGAUAACGUAGGGAAACUUACGCUAAUACCGCAUACGACCUACGGGUGAAAGCAGGGGAUCUUCGGACCUUGCGCGAUUGAAUGAGCCGAUGUCGGAUUAGCUAGUUGGCGGGGUAAAGGCCCACCAAGGCGACGAUCCGUAGCUGGUCUGAGAGGAUGAUCAGCCACACUGGAACUGAGACACGGUCCAGACUCCUACGGGAGGCAGCAGUGGGGAAUAUUGGACAAUGGGCGCAAGCCUGAUCCAGCCAUACCGCGUGGGUGAAGAAGGCCUUCGGGUUGUAAAGCCCUUUUGUUGGGAAAGAAAAGCAGCAGGUUAAUACCCCGCUGUUCUGACGGUACCCAAAGAAUAAGCACCGGCUAACUUCGUG
rnacentral:rRNA from 1 species